AACGAACGCUGGCGGCAUGCCUAACACAUGCAAGUCGAACGAGACCUUCGGGUCUAGUGGCGCACGGGUGCGUAACGCGUGGGAACCUGCCCUUAGGUUCGGAAUAACUCCCCGAAAGGGGUGCUAAUACCGGAUAAUGUCUUCGGACCAAAGAUUUAUCGCCUUUGGAUGGGCCCGCGUUGGAUUAGCUAGUUGGUAGGGUAAAAGCCUACCAAGGCGACGAUCCAUAGCUGGUCUGAGAGGAUGAUCAGCCACACUGGGACUGAGACACGGCCCAGACUCGUACGGGAGGCAGCAGUGGGGAAUAUUGGAAAAUGGGCGAAAGCCUGAUCAAGCAAUGCCGCGUGAGUGAUGAAGGCCUUAGGGUUGUAAAGCUCUUUUAACCGGGAUGAUAAUGACAGUACCGGGAGAAUAAGCUCCGGCUAACUCCGUG
rnacentral:rRNA from 1 species